rnacentral:rRNA from 1 species
AUCUUAUUAAUACCAUUAUUUUAUUUAUUUAUAUAAAGAAAAGUUCUAACAAAUAAUACCUUCAUCAACUAAAAACAAGUAAGAAAUUAUAUAUGCUAGUACCUUAGGGGAAGUUUGAAAUAGAAUUAAAACUAAAACAAAAAAAGGAAAGCUAUUACCUUUUGCAUCAUGGUUAUACAAGAUAAAAAGGAACACGAACCUUAACCCGAAAGAUAACGAGCUAACCAUUUCCGCUUAAAGGAGCAAUUAUCCACUGUUGCAGUAGUGGGGAAAGAGAAAAGGUUAGAGGUUAAAUGCCAUACGCGUUAUUAGAUAGCUGGUUCUUGGGGAAAAAGAUAUAAGUCUUACGCUUAAAAGCUAUUUAUUUCCAAUUUUUAAAAAGGAAAUCCGUUUCAGCAAAGAGUAGAAAGAGAACCGGAGACAAGUCCUGAUCUCAAGAAGGAAACAACCCAGAACUUAAAAUAAAUCAACUUAAAACAAGGAUUACCCAUACAGGUAGGCCUAAAAGCUGCCACCACAAUAGAAAGCGUUAAAGCUCCCAAUAUUAAAAUCCUAAAAUAAAUGAAAGAAAAUUAAUUUUUGUUCUAGAUACCCAAGAUAUAUAAUGUUUAAACAAGUAAGAACCAACUUAUUAGCUCACCUGCGGCGGAGAAAAUAACUACAAACCAAGGAUAAGGAAGACACCAAGACGUUCUACCAUUAACUUCCUUCCAACCCAGGAGCAGAAAUAGAGAUAAACUAAAAGCAGGGAAGGAACUCGGCAAAAACAAAGGAAGGACUGUUUACCAAAAACAUAGCUCCCUGAAAAAAUAGGGGGUCUAGCCUGCCCAGUGGUCCAAGACUAAACGGCCGCGGUAUAUUGACCGUGCAAAGGUAGCAUAAUCACUUGUCUUUUAAAUGAAGACUUGUAUGAACGGAAUUACCUUUCUUAACUGUCUCCCCUGCUUUUCUCUGAAACUCGUAUUUAGGUGAAGAACCCUAAAUAACAUAGAAAGACGAGAAGACCCUGUCGAGCUUCAGCUAAAAAAGGAGUCUAAGUAAAACUCACACAUCCUACUACAGCUUUGGUUGGGGCAACCACGGAGAAUAAUAAUCCUCCGGAAAUUGUGGAAGAUAAAUCUCUUCCCCACACACAAAAAAAGAACCAGAAUCUGGAAAACGGAAAAAGCUACCGCAGGGAUAACAGCGUUAUCUCCUCCAAGAGUUCAUAUUGACGAGGAGGCUUGCGACCUCGAUGUUGGAUUGGGGCACCCACAGGGUGCAGAAGCUCUGAAAGGUCGGACUGUUCGUCCGUUAAAGCCCUACAUGAUCUGAGUUCAGACCGACGUGAGUCAGGUCAGCUUCUAUCUUCUGACUGAUGUCUCUCCAGUACGAAAGGACCGAGAUACCCCUUUAAAUAGUUAACUCCAAAAAGGACUAAAAAAUU